GGGUGCGUAGCUCAGUGGGAGAGCGCCUGCCUCACACGCAGGAAGUCGGCAGUUCAAUCCUGUCCGCGCCCACCA
rnacentral:tRNA from 1 species